rnacentral:rRNA from 1 species
ACGGGAGGCAGCAGUAGGGAAUAUUGCGCAAUGGGGGGAACCCUGAUGCAGCAACGCCACGUGUGGGAAGAAGCAUUUCGGUGUGUAAACCACUGUCGUGAGGGAAUAAUGAUUGGCUCCGGCCAAGUUGAAUGUACCUCGAAAGGAAGCACCGGCAAACUUCGUGCCAGCAGCCGCGUUAAUACGAGGGGUGCAAGCGUUGUUCGGAAUCACUGGGCGUAAAGGGAGCGUAGGCGGAGAUGCAAGCAGUCUGUACAAUACCGGGGCCCAACCCCUGACCUGCAGACUGGACUGUGUCUGUUGGAUAGUUCAGGGGCAGGCGGAAUUCCUGGUGUAGCGGUGGAAUGCGUAGAGAUCAGGAAGAACACCGAUGGCGAAGGCAGCCUGCUGGGGACUCAUCGACGCUGAGGCUCGAAAGUGCGGGUAGCAAACAGGAUUAGAUACCCUGGUA